GGUGCCUCCUCGCUGGCCGUGCUCCUUCCCGGCACUGGCUUCUCUGAGCCACCAACCUGCGGCUGCCCCUGCUGCCUGCGCCCCCGGCAGCACCAUGACAGAUCAGGCCUUUGUGACACUGACCACAAACGAUGCCUACGCCAAAGGUGCCCUGGUCUUGGACUCAUCUCCGAAACAGCGCAGGACCACCAGGAAGCUGGUCAUGUUUGCCACCCCACAGGUCUCAGACUCCAUGAGAAAAGUUUUAGAGACAGUCUUUGAUGAAGUCAUUAUGGUAGAUGUCUUGGACAGUGGUGAUUCUGCUCAUCUAACCUUAAUGAAGAGGCCAGAGUUGCGUGUCACGCUGACAAAGCUCCACUGCUGGUCACUCACACAGUAUUCAAAAUGUGUAUUCAUGGAUGCAGGUACUCUGGUCCUAGCAAAUAUUGAUGAUCUUUUUGAGAAAGAAGAAUUGUCAGUAGCACCAGACCCAGGGGGGGCCUGACUGCUUUAAUUCCAGAGUUUUCGUUUAUCAGCCUUCAGUUGAAACAUAUAAUUGGCUGUUCGUCUUGCUUCUGAGCAAGGUAGUUUUGAUGGUGGGGACCAAGGCAUACUGAACACAUUUUUUAGCAGCUGGGCAACAACAGAUAUCAGAAAACACCUGCCAUUUAUUUAUAACCUAAGCAGCAUCUCUAUAUAUUCCUACCUCCCAGCAUUUAAAGUGUUUGGUGCAAGUGCGAAAGUUGUGCAUUUCCUGGGAAGAGUCAAACCAUGGAAUUAUACUUAUGAUCCCAAAACAAAAAGUGUCAAAAGUGAGUCCCAUGAUCCCAACAUGACUCAUCCAGAGUUUCUUAUCUUGUGGUGGAACAUCUUUACUACCAACAUUUUACCUCUACUUCAACAAUUUGGCCUUGUCAAAGACACCUGCUCAUACGUAAAUGUGGAAGAUGUCUCAGGAGCCAUAUCACAUCUGUCCCUUGGGGAGAUCCCAGCUAUGGCACAGCCUUUUGUAUCCUCGGAAGAACGGAAGGAGCGGUGGGAACAAGGCCAGGCCGAUUACAUGGGAGUAGAUUCCUUUGACAACAUCAAGAGGAAACUUGACACUUACCUCCAGUAGAAACACUGCAUUUUACUGUGAACAUAUACACUUCACAAGCCUUUCUGAUACUUAGUAUCUAGAGCUGGGUUGAGAAAAGUCUGUUACAGUUGCUAGAGGUUUUCACUAAAACUUAUCAGAUGAGAGCUUUUUGUAGGACGAGAGGUGAGAACUGGGCAAAAGUUGUAAAGCAGCAAUUCUGUUAUAUGGACAGUGUUCUGCUUUUUAAUCCUAUUUAGCUCAUUUCAGAAAUUCUUACUUUUGUUGACUGCCAACAUACGAAGCAAGGGAAACUCAAUAUUAAGCUUUUAAGAUGGCUAUAUCAUUUCUUAAAAUCUGCAGAGCCUGGUUCCAAAUCAGUCACUCCCUUCAGAAGCAGAUAUUGCAUCUGUUCCUUACUUGCUUGCUGGUUGUGCCUAACUUUCACUAGACCCACAUUUUAGAAUUGCCCAGUGCUGCUAGAAUGAGUGAUUGUAAUUCUGCUUUCAGGUAAAGAUAAUCUAUGUUAACACUGCCGAGUGAUUCAUAAACUAUCAACGAAUAGCAUUAACCCAUUUUAUUUCCUGGUCCUAGUGUUUGAAGAUGUUCACCAGUUUUCUAUGUACAGUAAGGCAGCAUGCUAAAAUGCUUUUGUUCAGUUCUGCAUAUUUGAAAAUAGCAGCGUGUUCUCUGAUGGUUACCUGCAGUGGCACCCUGUACGGAAAAUAAAGACUUAUAGCCGUAAAAAAAAA